rnacentral:rRNA from 1 species
GAUGAACGCUGGCGGCGUGCCUAAUACAUGCAAGUCGAGCGAACGGACGAGAAGCUUGCUUCUCUGAUGUUAGCGGCGGACGGGUGAGUAACACGUGGAUAACCUACCUAUAAGACUGGGAUAACUUCGGGAAACCGUAGCUAAUACCGGAUAAUAUUUUGAACCGCAUGGUUCAAAGGUGAAAGACGGUCUUGCUGUCACUUAUAGAUGGAUCCGCGCUGCAUUAGCUAGUUGGUAAGGUAACGGCUUACCAAGGCAACGAUGCAUAGCCGACCUGAGAGGGUGAUCGGCCACACUGGAACUGAGACACGGUCCAGACUCCUACGGGAGGCAGCAGUAGGGAAUCUUCCGCAAUGGGCGAAAGCCUGACGGAGCAACGCCGCGUGAGUGAUGAAGGUCUUCGGAUCGUAAAACUCUGUUAUUAGGGAAGAACAUAUGUGUAAGUAACUGUGCACAUCUCGACGGUACCUAAUCAGAAAGCCACGGCUAACUACGUG